CCCGGCGACCGGCGCACGGGUGAGUAACACGUAUGCAACCUGGCCGUGACAGAUGGAUAACCGGGAGAAAUCCCGCCUAAUACAGCAUGACGCCGCGGGAGGACAUCCUCCCGCGGCCAAAGGGGCGACCCGGUCACGGAUGGGCAUGCGGCGCAUUAGGUAGUUGGUGGGGCAACGGCCCACCAAGCCGACGAUGCGUAGGGGUUCUGAGAGGAAGGUCCCCCACACUGGUACUGAGACACGGACCAGACUCCUACGGAAGGCAGCAG
rnacentral:rRNA from 1 species